AGUUGCCACACCAGGAUCAGCGCCCACAGGGAAGAACCCUGGUGUCUGGGCUCAGGCUGCAGAGAAGUGGACCGCUGCCCUGCUUCCGUUCUGUCACACAGCGACAAAGGCUGGGAGCGCUGGAGAAAUCUGGACGGAAGCAACCACCGCGCUGCGGGAAACCUACAGGGAUUGCCAGACGGGAAGAGAGCGCUGCUCUCCCUCAGCUGCCUGGAGUCUCCCUCUAGUGCCCUGGUUGGCAGAGCUUUUCAGGGCUCUGUAGCGGAGGCCCAGCUGCAGCAGAAGGACGGACGGACGGAAGGUGGUGAGCGGUGAAACAACAGCUUAAUAAUUGGCUCCACCAGCACUCGCGCGCUCACACACUGUAAUAUGGUCUGUCUUGUUCCCCGGGAUGCCUCCGCGCUUAGGAAGAUCCCCGUGGUAUGAAAUGCAGGCAAUAAGCAUUUGUCGACGGAGGAGCGGAAAGGGCAAGCAAAACUACACUAGCUGUUCUCCAGUCUGCAUUCAAAGGCAAGAAGCGUCCAAAAUAACCUUGACUGUCCCGCCAGUUUCUAAGCUCGUUCCUGGCUCUAUUUAUACUUCUCCCAGCGGCCUUACCGCGGCGGGGCUGUCAGAGAUAGCUGUAGCCUAAGGCUUUGGAGAAAUGCCGGUCCAGAGGAAAAAGCCCUGCCCCACUACUAGCCGAGGGGCCUUGGGCACUUGGUAUCUGAGGCUUGUUCCCCUGCUCUAUAAAAUGCAGGCAUUGCUGCUGUGGGGUUUAAAUAAGGCGGUCGUAUCUGGCAAGUGUUUGUCACACAUGCCAGUAAAGAGUGUACGCCACUCUUUACUCCCACCCAACACCCUAGAGCGAUGGGCAGUGGAGGUGUGUGUGUGUGUGUGUGUGUGUGUGUGUGUGUGUGUGUGUGUGUGUGUGUGUGUGUGUGUUCUGGAUUUCCCUCCCCAGCUCUCCAGCGCUAACCGAGGUCCAAGCUGGAGGGACACGGAAUGGCUCGUGGCGGCCAGGCAGGCCAGUGGUUGGAGCACCGCGGCCCCGGCAGGCCAGGGCCCAGGCUCUGCAGACCAGGAUAGUCCUUGGACUGGAGUUUCCAAACAGCCCUAUAGCCGGUUUCCUAAUACCGGAGUUUCAAAGCCAGCUCCCUCCCUCCUGAAACAAACGAGGGUGUGGCCGUUCCUCGCAUUCACAACUAAACAAAACAAGGAGAGCACCCACCCCCUAGCCUCGCCCAGCUCCGGACGUUUUCCCAGGCGCCGGGUGCAGCCGAGCUGCGGGCGCACCCUAAGGCUGCUGCGCGCCCCAGAGCCGGGGUUCAGCCCCCUCCAAGGUCCGGCCUCGGGGUGAGCUCGCCCGGGAGCCUGUCCGGGUCCGACCCGCCGCCGCCGUUGCAGCCGGAUCCUGGGCCGAGACCGCUUUCAUCACGUCCACUCCCGAGGAACUGCUGGCGAAGAAGACAAACACGCCUCUUCCCCGUUCCGAAGACCCUGUCUUUGUGUCUGGAAGUUCCUUUCUCGGUCGUGGACCAUCUGUGCCAUCCCCAGCGGGUCUUUCCAGCUGGAUUGUCGCCACCUCGUGGCAGGAUCAGGUGGUCACAUUGGCCCUUGCCCCUCGAGCCCUUUGCUCUCCUGGGUCCCAAGCGUACUUUUCUUUGUUUCUCCUACCAGCUAUGAACUGGAAUUUUAUAAUCCUGCUCUCUGGGUUUAGGAGGUGAACUGGGAUUCCUCUGCCCCACCCACCCCAGUUACACUGCUCGCCUUCUUUAAAGAGAAACAAGUGUUAUUCCGAGAGCCAGGAGUGACCGGAUUGACAAGCCCGUGGGGGCUCCGUGUGAGGCGUCAAUCCCCCACCAAUUUCCCAGGAGACAAACUAAUGAUUAAGACGACCGACGCACUCUGUCUUGUUCCUACUGGUUAGUGAUGCUAUUAUACUUGAUGAGUAUUAUUACAGGACCCCUGUCAUUAAAGACUCCCUGUUA